rnacentral:rRNA from 1 species
AUUGAACGCUAGCGGGAUGCUUUACACAUGCAAGUCGAACGGCAGCGCGGACUUCGGUCUGUCGGCGAGUGGCGAACGGGUGAGUAAUGUAUCGGAACGUGCCCAUUAGCGGGGGAUAACUACGCGAAAGCGUAGCUUAUACCGCAUACGCCCUCCGGGGGAAAGCGGGGGAUCGUAAGACCUUUCACUAUUGGAGCGGCCUAUAUCGGAUUAGCUAGUUGGUGAGGUAAUGGCUGACCAAGGCGGCGACCCGUAGCAGGUUUGAGAGGAGGACCAGCCACGAGGGGACUGAGGCACGGCCCAGGACUGUGCGGGAGGCAGCAGUGGGGAAUUUUGGAGCAUGGGGGAAUACUUGAUCCAGGGCUCCAGCGUGAGGGAUGGAGGCCUUCGGGUUGAAGAACGCUUUUGGCAGGAAAGAAACGUUGCGGGCUAAUGACGCGUGGAACUGACGGUACCUGCAGAAUAAGCACCGGCUAACUACGUG